rnacentral:rRNA from 1 species
UACGUAGGGUGCGAGCGUUGUCCGGAAUUAUUGGGCGUAAAGAGCUCGUAGGCGGUUUGUCGCGUCGGCCGUGAAAACUUGGGGCUUAACUCCAAGCUUGCGGUCGAUACGGGCAGACUUGAGUUCGGCAGGGGGGACUGGAAUUCCUGGUGUAGCGGUGAAAUGCGCAGAUAUCAGGAGGAACACCGGUGGCGAAGGCGGGUCUCUGGGCCGACACUGACGCUGAGGAGCGAAAGCGUGGGGAGCGAACAGG